AUUGAACGCUGGCGGCAGGCUUAACACAUGCAAGUCGAGCGGAAACGAUGUAGCUUGCUACAGGCGUCGAGCGGCGGACGGGUGAGUAACGCGUAGGAAUCUGCCUAGUAGUGGGGGACAACAUGUGGAAACGCAUGCUAAUACCGCAUACGCCCUACGGGGGAAAGGAGGGGAUCUUCGGACCUUUCGCUAUUAGAUGAGCCUGCGUAAGAUUAGCUAGUUGGUAGGGUAAAGGCCUACCAAGGCGACGAUCUUUAACUGGUCUGAGAGGAUGGCCAGUCACCGUGGAAGUGAGCCACGGCCCGGCCCCUUGGGGGGGCCGGCAUGGGGGAAGUUGGGACAAGGGGGGAAGGCUGGACACAGCCAGGCGGGGUGGGGGAAGAAGGCGUUGGGUUUUUAAACCAUUUUGGGGGGGGGGGAGGGGGUUUUGUUUAAUAUCAAAACUUUUUGACGUUCCCCAAAAAAGAAGCCCGGGCUAACUCUGUC
rnacentral:rRNA from 1 species